UACGUAGGGGCCAAGCGUUGUCCGGAUUUAUUGGGCGUAAAGAGCUCGUAGGCGGUUGGGUAAGUCGGGUGUGAAAACUCCAGGCUCAACUUGGAGAUGUCACCCGAUACUGCUCUGACUUGAGUUCGGUAGGGGAGUGGGGAAUUCCUGGUGUAGCGGUGAAAUGCGCAGAUAUCAGGAGGAACACCGAUGGCGAAGGCAGGUCUCUGGGCCGAUACUGACGCUGAGGAGCGAAAGCGUGGGGAGCGAACAGG
rnacentral:rRNA from 1 species